GGGAAGAAAAAGAUAUCCAAUUAUUGUCAUUGUUAUUUUUUUCAUGCCGUAAACCACUACCUUUCAAUACUAAAAGUCUAGUAUUUGUGGAUCGUGUAUUAGUUUCUUCCAGUUGUGAGUUAAUUUGAGUUUCAAAUUCAAAUGAUUAAAAAGAAAAAUCAAGUUACUAAGGUCAGGUUGAAUGGUUACAUGUUGGAACUUUUAGUUUUGGAUAUUUUAAUGAGAAGAGUUUUUUCUUAGGGUUAAAGCUCAUGAUUCAUUUCACUUCCUAUUUUCUGCAUUCCUAUAUCAGUUAUGUAAUUGGGAUGAAGCAAUCAUUGUAAAUAUAUUCUAAUUGUAUUUCUCCAAUUUAAGGGAUAUCAUAUGUGCAAAUAUAUUGGUGGAUGCAAGUGGAUUUGUCAAGCUUGCAGAUUUUGGAUUGGCAAAGGCAACCAAAUUGAAUGACGUUAAAUCAAUGAAAAGGACAACAUUAUGGAUGGUGUCUACUAUAUGUGGUUGGUGUAGGACAUGCCAAGAAUGUAAUAUGUUAGUGUUGUGAACAAACUAGAGGUCGACACCUUGGUCAUGGGGCUAUGUAUUCUUUAAGAGGUAACUACUGAUUUUUUUUUAGGCACCUACUAUAUGGUAUAUAUGACUCAAUCAGGAACAUAAAAUGUGAAGUAUGAAGCUUCAACAUGAGGCACCAAUGUUCUUGAAACAAUAUUGCAGUAUUUCCAUUCUCUUUUUCCUUUUUCGGUUCUUGUUGUUGUCAAUUUGAAUUGUGUUGAUGUUGGAGGCUUAGAUAGAGAUAUAGAAUGUGAUGUGUAUUUUACUCACCUAACAUUGUUUUGCUCAAUUCUGUAUAGUUUGAAAUUGAUUAUGUUGGUCAAAGUGAAUUGGCAUUAAAUGAGGAUCUAUAUAACACAAAGUACAAGGACAAGUUGGAGUUGUCUUAUAAGGUACUGCUUAAACUGAUUCAUAUGUAAAUAUAUAACCCCUGAGAUAUUGCUCUUCAAGGACUGCUUGGGAAAAUGGAAAAGAGCAUCUUGCAUAUUUAAACAUCAUGACGCAGUAGCUGAUGUGUUUCAUUCUCAAUUCAAUAACCAGGGACUUAUUCAUGAAGUGUUCACCACAAUAUUAUGUGGCUUGUCUAGUGACUAAGCCUGGAAAAUUUACCAAAAGGAAGCUAUGCCUAAAUUACCACAAUAUUAUGUUGUUUAGUAUUGUGAACUUUGCUUUAAUGUUUUUUUUCCAGUUAUAUCAUUCUUUUGCAGUUAUUAUUUAACAUAAAUUGGAACUUUUCUAAACAAUGGUGUUUUCUGUUUUAAAACUUGAUGUUUUUGUUGAUGUGUCUUCAAUGGUAAUCUCUGUAUUGGAUGGUUACAAUGUUUGCAUCUUUGCUUAUGUGCAAAAAGGAAUGGGGAAGACAUUCACCAUGGAAGGAACAAAGCAAAACAGAGGAGUAAAUUAGAGGACUCUUGAGCACUUGUUUAAAGUUAGUAAUGAAAUGAGUGAAACAUUUUCAUAUGGUAUAUCUGUUAGUGUGAUAGAUGUUUACAAUGAACAAAUCAGAGACUUAUUGGCUACAGGAAACACAUCAAAAAGGUAUUUUUGUUAUGUUUUAUUAUCGGUUCCUUUUGUAAGAUAGUCUGAUAUAGUGUUUACUGGUUUCAAGCAUGCUAGAAUAUGCAAUAUCACUAGUCUAAGCAGGAAAUUGAAGUAGCUAGAAUUGAUAUAUCUUGAAAUGAUUAUCAGGUUGGAGAUAAAACAAGCUUCUGAAGGAUUUCAUCAUGUUCCUGAUGUUGUUGAAACCAAGAUUGAUAACAUAAAUGAAGUGUGAAAAAUGUAAUUUCUUAAAUACUUUCUCUUGUUCAAAUGCACUUUCACUUGUUAACUUUGCCCUUUGAGUUAUUCUUAAAUACUUUUAGGUACAAAUGGCAUUACCAUGGGUAUGUUGCAAUGAGAAGAUAUAAGUUUAUUGUAGAGAAAGGCUCGGGCCAAAACAACUCACCAAUUGUACAAAAUGUGUGUCAUGUAAAAUAACCAUCUCCUUGGGUGGAUAAAGUUCUAAUUAAUAAUUACUUUAUGGUGAAAUAUAUUUUUUUCUCAUUUCCUAAUUGCUAUUAAUUCUUAUUGGGUAAAUCAAUGCUAAAAGGUUCACAUUGUAGCCUUGUUUUUUUUUCUUUCACAUGUUAUAUGUAAAACUUUAAAGUAAAGUUGUUGUAGGGUACAACAAUUGAAAGCAUGGAAGAUCUUUUUUCUGCUAAUUUUACUCUGCUAUAAUUUCUGGAUGAUGAUAUAUUUUGGUGUUUCAGGUUGUAGGCACAAAGGAGGCUAACCUUCUACAAUUAAGUUUGGCCUUGUAUUUCACUUUUUAACUUAUCUAGGAGAUGUUGGUUGGUUGUAUAAAUAUUCUGGUUUUUUUUUAUUGUCGUUAUAUAUGCUUGCAAGUUGUAACUAUAUCAAUUCACUUUUGUCUUAUAAUUUUCUUCUAGGCUACUUUGAUAAAAAAAAAUAAAAAUUAUGUGUUGUUAUUUCUUUAAGAUUUGAUGAAACUAAUUUUUUUUAAUGAUUGUAGUGAUUGAGAUUCUUUUAGUAGCUUUAUAACUCACUAUAUAGAAAACUUACACAUAGAUGGGCUUUUCUAUUCUGGUCGAGAUGGGCUUGAAGUCACGAAAUAUCCUUUUCUACUCUGUUAAUCAAAAAAGAAAAUAAAAUUGACAUGUUAUACUUCAAACAUUUUCAUAUCAACCAGAAUGAAAAUUCUAUUACUAAGUAGAACUUAUUAUUUAUUUAUAAUUUUGUAAUUGUGCAAAAUUUAAAGAACACAAAGGAUGAUCAAUUAUGAUAUUGAAUGUCAAUAUAUUUAGCCUGUUGUGUUGCUAUAUAUUGCCUAAUAUGUUUUUCGUUUUUUGGGGUGCUAAUAUGGCAGUUUUAUUUCACUCCGUUGGCUUUGACUAUGGUUGUGGCUUCUUUAGAUGGUGUAAAGGUUGAAUAUCAUAGCAAUAAAGAUAAUAGUUUAAAGAUUUUAUUUUGUAAUUACAUGUAUGUCCAGGUUUUCUAAAGGUGAGUGUUUUUAUAUUGGUGAUAAUAUAUAUAGAAAUAAUGUAUAUGUAUGCAUGCAUGUUAUGGCCUUAAUAAGAUUCUAGAUUUUGAUUUGUGCUUAGCUACCUUGAAGCCAAAGAAUCCCUGGUAAAAAAAAUUAAAUGCAUUUGGUGCAACACUGUCAGAGGAUGAAACCAAGAAGUUAUCUGGAAACAAAAAUUGCAUUUGUGUAUAAAAUAAAAGAGUAUAUUGUAGAGCCUUGUUCUUGAUAUUGUGUUAAAUUUGUUGGAUGGCGGAGAAAUCAUGCAUCAAGUGCCUUAGAGAAAGAAUAUAGAGCCUUUUGUAAAAUAUGUACAAUACAACAUAUUUUGUCUUUUUAAAAGUUGUGCUUCACUAU